rnacentral:rRNA from 1 species
UAGUUGGUGAGGUAACGGCUCACCAAGGCGACGAUCAGUAGCCGACCUGAGAGGGUAAUCGGCCACAUUGGAACUGAGACACGGUCCAAACUCCUACGGGAGGCAGCAGUGGGGAAUAUUGCACAAUGGGCGAAAGCCUGAUGCAGCAACGCCGCGUGAGCGAUGAAGGCCUUUGGGUCGUAAAGCUCUGUCCUUGGGGAAGAAACAAAUGACGGUACCCUUGGAGGAAGCCCCGGCUAACUACGUGCCAGCAGCCGCGGUAAUACGUAGGGGGCGAGCGUUAUCCGGAAUUAUUGGGCGUAAAGAGUGCGUAGGUGGCCAUGUAAGCGCGGGGUGAAAGGCAAUAGCUUAACUAUUGAAU